UACGGGGGGGGCAAGCGUUGUUCGGAAUUACUGGGCGUAAAGGGCUCGUAGGCGGCCAACUAAGUCAGACGUGAAAUCCCUCGGCUUAACCGGGGAACUGCGUCUGAUACUGGUUGGCUUGAAUCCGGGAGAGGGAUGUGGAAUUCCAGGUGUAGCGGUGAAAUGCGUAGAUAUCAGUCGGAACACCGGUGGCGAAGGCGGCUUCUUGGGCCAUUUCUGACGCUGAGGCGCGAAAGCUAGGGGAGCGAACGGG
rnacentral:rRNA from 1 species